AUAAAGCAUCAUUAAAAUAAUCAAACAUUAUUUAGUGUUAAUAACAUUUUGUUUGUUUUUUAGUUUAAAACAGCCGAACCUUUCGUUAACCAAGUUACUAUCAAGCACUAUAUGAAAGAUUGGAAGAUUUAUAAAGGCGGAGGAUUUGGAGAUGACCCCUCUUAUUUGAAAAUGGGUGCAACACUGUAACUUUUGACCGAGGUGUGUUAAAACAUCAUCAACACAUUUAACAUGUUUUAUAACAUGUUUUAUAUUUACCUUCAAUGUUUUGUAGUUGUCAGGUAUUA